CCUAGUGGAAAUUGGGAAUUAGGAAUUCAGAGAAGCAAAAUCCUAAUGUGGGUAGUAGAUAAAAGAAAAGAUUGAAACGGGUACGGAGAUUAAAAGGAGAAAGAUUGAAAUUUACCGAAUCUGAUGCGGAAGAGGAAAAGCAGUCUGACCCAGCGAUACAAGCAACCGACCGACCAAUCACCCAACUCAAUGAGGAAAGAGGUAGAGAGAGAGAGAGAGAGAGAGAGAGAGAGAGAGAGAGAGAGAGAGAGAGGAGGAGGAGGAGGAAAACCAAAGAGGAGGAGGAGGAGAAGGAGAGGGAGGGAGGUAUUCAGAGAGGGAGAUAACAACAGAGCGUGCGUGCCAAAAAUGGGGGGCACAGAGAGUAAGGGCGGGGAAGGUUGGGAAAAAGACGCGUGGAGGGAGAGAGAGAGAGAGUGGCGGCCGACAGGUCUACCACCUGGAAUCGUGAUUUGUUUUGGAUCAAUGUAUCAAAAAAUGUAACAUGCGUAGUACAAUUAAAAGUGAACGUAAUUUUUAUUUAUACAUUUUUCUUCAUCUCAUCAUGCGUAAAGUACAUCCAUAUCUAGCUUCCUAGCUGCUCCUCUAUACUUGAAACUACUCCUACUGUUGGUCAUGAACGAGUACAGAUAAGAUUAAAAAAUAACGAGUAAAAAUAAUAUCCCAAAUCUAGACCGUGGUAGAAGUUAUUUGAGGAAGCUCAUCAUUUUGUUCUUCAGGUUCUGUUGCGAAACGUCGGAUAAUCAUGUUCAAAUAAUCUUUCAAUUUGCCAAAUGUAUGAAUAACUGAUGCAAAUGCAUUUUCAUACAACGUUUUGAGGUAUUCGCACUCAGCUACAACCUUCACAAACCAAACAACCCAAAAGAAUCCAGCGACUAGCCCUAAACUUGGCACAAGGAUCACCACUUCUAAAAUCAAGGAAAGAGUUCCAAGGAGUAGGCUAAUCUUAUUGCUGAAUGAUUUUGCCAAAUCCGAAUUACUACGAGCUUGCACGUGGAGUAUUCUAUAGCCAAUUAGUGAUCCGAUAUAAGCAAUUAGAGCAAUGAUUAGAGACACCAUAGCCGGGUAGUUUGUGUUGAACAGAGACUCAUUUCUGGCUCCCUGCUUGAGUUGGAGGAAAACGCCUAGCAUGGCGAUGAGGAAACAUAUAUAUUUAUGCACCUUUGUAGAACAUUCUUCACUUGUGCUGUUAUAUAUAUAUAUAUAUAUAUAUAUAUAUAUAUAUAUAUAUAUAUAUAUAUAUAUAUAUAUAUAUAUAUAUAUAUAUAUAUAUAUAGUUAAUGAGAAUUAAAUGGAAUUGCACUAAUGAAUCAUCUACAAUAUUUUUUGUAAUCUCAGCUAAUAAGAAAAUGCUAGGGAGACCAUAUUUUUAUAUCACAUUUGUGUACUAAUAUGACAUGACAAGUGAUGUGUACAUACCACAUAAUUGGAUGUUGGUUGUACACAUCACAUGUCAAUACAUCUGUAAAUUAAUCAAGUCAAUAUAUGAUCUGAAAUCAACUAAUUAAGAACGUAUGAUAGAUCCAUAAAUUAAUCAAGUCAAUAUGCCAUCUGAAAUCAACUGAUUAAAUAGGUAAGUUUUACCUAGCAAGCUGUUAUUUUCUUCAAUUUUUAUUAAUAACGAAAAUAUCUAGCCAUUCGACGCUCUUAAUUUAUCAAAAAAUUGCCUAGAGUUAUCAAGAGCUGAUUUGUAUAGAUUAAUUGCUAAUUAAUCGGUUCUUUUUGGUCUCCCCAUCAUUUUCCCCACGUAAAAGGCAACAAAAAAAAGAAAAAGUAUACACUUACCCUUCCAGUUCCGAAUGUGGAUGGACGCUAACGGGAAGCCCUGCGACACGAUCCAUCUGCGUAUAUAUGAAACUUCUGUACAGAGGAACACAAAAACAAAAUUCAGAUCAAAGACUCGUCACACCUUCACACACACACACGCAGACGCAAGAGCUCUGUUUUUUUGUUCUUUUUGUUUUUGAAAUUCCGCCAAAGGAGAACACUCCAAAACAGACGAAAAUACGGCCAAUAGCGGCCGUCAAGCUUAAGACAGUAAUGAAGAUGGCAAGCAGAUAUUCAAAUGGUAACGAGUGAAAUGCGAGCUAAAAAACGCUGUUACUUGAGAACUACACGCACAAAAUGAAACUUGAGAACUACACGCACAAAAUGAAGGCACAAAGAAUAAAAGGGACUUGUUCGAACCAGAAAUAUGAUCUUGUGAGUGAAACAAUGCAACUGGGUGCUGUGCGGCGGUGAUGUUGGGCAGAAGAGAAGGCCUUCUGUCAGCAUAUAUAGAUAUGGUGCAUGAAUGGGAAGUAUGACUACUUCUUCGAAACAGCAUUUUCCCAGAAUGAUCAAUAUUGUUCUUCUUUUAAAAAGCAACGACUGGAGUGGGAAAGUGGCAAAAAGAUUCCUUCGCUCAUUCAAAAAUGAAUCAUGUUUUGGGCUGUUAUUUUGGAGGUGCAUUCUGUGCCCUCCCAUUUUGGGCAGUUAUUUUGGAGGUGGAUUCUCUGCCCUCUCAUUUCCAAACUUUCUCCAUCCCUUUCUAUUUGUGUGCUCACGGUUAAGUCAUGUCAACAUUUUAUAUUUCUAUUACUUUUUGUUUUAUUAUUUUUAUAAAAAAUUAAUAUAAAAUAUUAAUAUGGCUUAACCGUGACCACACAUAGCAGGAGGUCAUAUGAAGAGUAUGGAAAUAGGAGGGCAGACAAUCCACCUCUGUUAUUUUGGGGGCAAAAAGAAAUGUUCUAACUUGUCUCAUAUCUGAUUUUAAAAUCCAUUCUUGAUGUUGUUUCAGGGAGCUUAAGGGGAGGGAUCCCCAUUUUUUCAAAAAAAAUGAGGACACGCUCCCCACCGUUAGAUUGACUUUAAUGAAAUUGUGUGGUUGAGAUUAAAACACAGGCCACAGAAUCUCAACCACAGGAUUUCAUUAAAGUCAAAUGCAACGGUGGGGAACGUAUUCCCAAUUUUUUGAAAAAAUGGGAAUCCCUCCCCUUAAGCAAUUCCGAUGUUGUUUAUUCUUUUCAUUUCUUUUAAAUGCGCGUGUGUUGACAUGCAGAAAAUACUACCAAUCUUACGUGCUCUUGCAAAGUUAAAGCAUAUGAUAAUUCGACGGUCUCCAUUUUGACACAACAGCAAAUCUUUUUAAAUGCGUGUGUGUUUGAGCUGCAUGCAGAAGCUCGCCCCAAUAAUAUUGAUUUCACUAUCACAAACUCCAAAUAUUGAUUCAUGAGGACCACCAAAAAAUCAAUAAAGCAUUGCGAACUCAUGAGGACCACCAAAAUAUUGAUUCUUAAAAUUAGUGCUCUAUCUAGAAAGCUAUUGAUUCAUUCAUUAAAAUUAGUUUUCUAUCUAAAAAGCUAUUGAUUCAUUAAAAUUAGAGAACUUUAACGAAAAGCACCCGGUACUGUUCACUUUAACGAAAAAUCACAUUUUUACACUAAAAUGUCAAUCCUGGUACUAUUCACGUUACCCUUUAUUUUGUCCUUAUCAUUAAAACUUAAAGUUUUCAAGCUCUUUUCAUUAGUUUUCCUUUAAAAUUAGUGCUCUAUCCAUUGAUUCAUUCAUUAAAAUUAGUUUUCUAUCUGAAAAGCUAUUGAUUCAUUAAAAUUAGUGCUCUAUCCAUUGAUUCAUUAAAAUUAGUGCUCUAUCCAUUGAUUCAUUCAUUAAAAUUAGUUUUCUAUCUAAAAAGCUAUUGAUUCAAAAGCGUUGCGUUGUCCAAAAAGAAAAAUCUUUGCGAACUCAUGAGAAUCAUCAAAUCAGCGAUAUCCAAGUUCUACUUAUGAACACACCUUUUUUCAGUUUGACAAGUGAAAUUUGUAUUUAUGGUCUAUACUUGAAAAAAAGAAUUGAGGUUUCUAUUACAAAAUUAAUUGUCAACAUGGGAAAGAAUCAAACUUCUUAUAAGGACUUACAAGAUUGAGCAAACUUCCAAUGUGUGGCAUUUCUUUACAUACCUUCACAACAACAAAUGUCCCUCCAAGUUGACCUAAGAACAAAGGAAUAAAAAAAAAAAGGAAAAAACACGAACACAUUUGUAAAGGAAAAUAAUUUCGCAUGCACUCCGAUAUCAUUGAGAGAUUUUUUAACAUGCCCGGAACACGGCAAAGCAUCACAUAUUAUUAUACAAUUAGAGAAAUUUUUUUUUAAGUAUUCCAACAAUAUUGACAUGUGGUGUUCUGUCUCAGUGCUCCGAUCCUACUAAAAAAUCUUUAGAUAUCAUAGGCUUUCUAAUUAAUAAAACACUAUUAUUUUUAUGUUGAUUUUUCUUUAAUUUAUUAAAUUUAAAUGUCAUAAAUAAACAAAAAGAACAGAGAAAAAUUGUGGACCCUGCAAUGAUUCAAUCAAAUAUCCCUUAUAUUAAAGUGUAUAUCUUCUGGAAAUCUGCAUAUUAACAUGUAAUUAACUCAGGGAUAACAUAAGCAUUUCAUUCUACCUUCACAUAUCACUUGCAUUCAGAAAGGAACCGAAUUACAAUAUCUUAAUUUCUUUUUCUUCUUAAGAAAAGCCAUGGUCAUGCAUCUACACAAACAGCAAAAAUUAGGAAAAACAACUUAAUUAAUUAGGGUUUUAAUUGAUGACAAACAACUUACAUAGAACACUGAGAUUCUCUUACCUUUGAAUCACUGUGAUAGGAGUUUCACUUCUUUCUCUCAUCCACAAGUCAGUCUUUUUUUUUUUAAUUCUAAGAAGUGAUUUUUCUUUGAUUUAUUCAAUUUGAAAUUAAAAAAAAUGCAAAAAAAAGAAAAAUAUGUGCAAAAAUCACUUCUCGUGUUUGUAAAGACUGUGAACCAACAAUGGAUGCCCUUGCAUAUAUUCAAUAUUCUUAAAUUGAACUUGGUUAAAUUAGGUUUUUCUUUUCCCUGUGUAUAGAGAGCUAUUAUUGGCACUCCCAUACAAAAAGUGCAGAGAAUUUUGGAGCGCUAAGCAGAUAAAAGACAAUCUCAUUUCAAAGGCCCAAUAAUGUUAAGAAUGUUCGGCCCAAAACAAAUCUAUUGAUGAGUUGAACCGGGUUUUGCUUUUUUCACAUAAGUGUAGUAUUGAGGUAGAAGAGAGAAAUGAACGAGUUGAACCGGGUUUAGGUCAAGCAAAAUAUCAAUUUGAAUCACUGGACACGGAGUCGGUUCAGGACCAACAGGAUCCUCUCCGGAUCUUUUGGUGAGAAUCCUGGGUCCCAUGAAUUAUGUCAGUUUAUAGUACAUCGUACGGUCAGUUUUUAUCAAGUACUAUUUGUGUUUAAUUUUAAAUAAAAUUAUUUAAAAUUAUUUCUGACAACAUGAUGUACGAUGAAAUGACACGAUUCACGGAUCUCCGAAAUUCUCACAAAGAGGAUCCGGCGAGGUUUAGGAAAAACCAACCCUAACCCACAGUUGUUCUAGAAAAUUCUUAACUAUCUAUAACAUGAUCACGUUCCGUAUAAGUUCUUUUUUUUUAUAACAUAUAUUUAUUUUUUAUUAAUAAUCCAGAGAAGUGAGACACAUCAACUUGUUCUAUGCGAAAAGUGCAAAAAUUUCUCCAUUUUUGUUCCCAAAUUGUAGAAAUUCAUGUCAAACACCGACUCCAUCAUGAUAUUCGAACUAACGACACAAUGUCUAGUGAAAAGUUAAAACACAUAUUUUCCCCAAAAAAAAAAGUUAAAGCACAUAACAUUAAGUAUUGAUCGUAAUGUCACGUGCCAAAAUUACAGGUCGUAGUUUAAAAAAAAAUAAUAAUAAUCAACCGGUGAUUUUGCCACGGCAGUCCAUCAUUCCAAAGGUCAGAAAGAUUCACAAAAGCGUUUGAACCUUCCCUGUCCACCAUUGUGUAAUUUAUCAACGUCAAGGGUUGAACCCAAAACGUAUCGUGUGAAAUACAGAAGUAUGCAUUAACAGAUCUAGUAAUGGAAAUUUAGUAACAGAAAUCAAGCACUUGAAAAUGUGCAUAGCAGCAAUUCUCAAAAGGAUGAAAUGAGACAAACAAUGCAUCUGUAUUAUCUUCCCAAAGAGGAUGCGAAAAACAGUAAAUCUGUAGGAUUUCAACUGAAUUAGUACUACGCAUUCCACCAACCGUGGCACAAACAUUCUUCGGAAUCAUCCAACUGUAGCAUCCUACCGGCAGCGGUGGUGGCAUGGAUAGUAGCAUUUCAUAACUCCGUCCAGCUCUGCCGUGACUUUCUGCUUCUCCCUGUACGGCUGCUGCUCUUCAUCCUCACCCAUAAAACUUCUCAACUUUGACUAUGGAAUCUGCUUCGACUAACAAUCGACAGCUACUAACACCCGCUGCUUCAACUUUCCGACAUCUUUUCUUCAUCACCCUUCGGUAAGUCUCCAGGACAGGAACCAAACACAGAAUGAGCUAAAACACGUUCAAAAUAAACUUCUGGAUCUCUUAUGUGUCCCCUCCUGUUUCUUUUCCAAUCAACCAUUCUUGUGUAACCUCCUCUCCUCCUCACAGUUCUAAUCUUCACUCUCUUUUGUUCCCCUUUUUUCUCUUUUUUUUUUUCUUUUUUUUUUUUUUUUUUAAUUUUCAAUUUCGUUUCCCGGGAGAUUAUCUCUAUCUUCACAAGGUGCAGCUUCCUCAUGGUAAUACAAAUCCUUACUGCCCCAACCAAGCAUGCACUAAACAGCUUCUGCCCACUUUCGAACACCCGAACCUUGUGGAUUCUGAUCCACAACCAACAGCAAAUGAAUACCUGAUGUCUUUCUCUUAGCCAAAAAGGCAAAAUUGAUACCUGUUCUCCUGACAGAAUAUGGCGCACUUGGGAGCGCCCUUGUCUCCAUGCUUCUCUUGACUGUUAAGUAGACUCUCCAAACAAUGCAAGCAAAGCAAGUCUAGACAAAAUGUCUCCUCAUAAUCGCAGUCUUUAAGGCAGCACCCGCAACUAAUACAGCGAGCUAUGCAGAGCGUGCAAGCCCUACAUGUCUGAUCAGCAGGUUGUUUCCCUUGGCAACUCUUUGCAGGGCAAUCAUAAACUAAACUAAGUCUCUGGCACCUGGGGCAUGCUUCGAUGUCGAUGGGACAAUCAUCAUCACAAGAGCCAUACAACAACCCACCUUUAAAAAAAUGAGGUUUGGGGGCUCUAAGCUGAAUGUGGUUAUCUACACCAAGCAAUAAUUUCAACUCUUCGAACUGCUCGUCAGUUAUACCAGAGAGACCAGCAAUUCUUAACUGCUUUAUUCCAGGGUUGCCGGCAGACUUCAAGGUCCUUAUGUUUAAGAAGAUGCACUCAACACUGAUUUUAAGACAUCCAGGAACACUUAACUGCACAGGCAAAAAAGUGUAUGUAUAUAAGUUUAAUGCAUUCGAAAGAACAUAAACUACAUAAAAAUAAGGCUUAAUACACUCCUGUAAAUUUCACACAUUUAAAUUGAUAAAUACAAGAUGCAAAAUAUCCGUAAACAGCAGUACCAGGUUUACAAAAUAAAAAUUAGCCGGAAUUUCAGCUAAAUGAAACAAAAACCACAACAAAACACUAAUCAUGUCCAGCAUCAAGAGCUGCAUAAAUUGUCAAAUCUUUUGAUAUUCGUAUAACAUCCAACUAUUAAGACCCUAAAAAACCAUUACAGAGAUGAUAUAGUCUUCAACCUACUUGCUAUAAACGACAGAAGAGUUCAAUUUCAACAGGGUUGUAAGCUAGAAUCACUUCAUAAAGUGAUAUAGCCUUAUGUUCGAUAACUUAGGGCGAACGAGAAGUUAUAGUAAGAGACACACAAGAUAUGUUUUCACAGAAAUCAAAUAGGGAAUGUAACUUCAGAACAGUUUAUUCUAAGGGAAAUCAACAUAAAAGUUUUUUUUUUUAAAUGUCACAGAACAAUAGAGAGGUAUCCUGUUAUACAAAAUCAUAAUCAGAAACACAAGCAGGAAUGUCGAAAAUACAAAAGUUCAAAUACUCACCUUUGUCAAACUCGGGUUGCUGUCAAACACACCCUGCAGCCCACUGUCAGUGAUCCUUACGCAAUGCACUAGACCCAAGGUUUGAAGUGUGCCUUGAGCCCUGCUAGUUAAUUUUACAAGAACAUCAUCGGUGAUGCGCUCAUUCAAUGGCCAAUCAAUGAUAAUAUUCCUCCAUAGAAGAGGGUCACUUCUAACUGCAUUACGAAAAGACUUGCAAACCCUUUCAACCGAAAGAAGGUCCUUAACACCAAGAAAACGCAGUGCAUAAAACAUAGCAUCAUGCGGAGCACUUGCCUCACCAUCAGGACACAUGAUGCUACAACCCUGUAUUUCCUUAGUUCCAACCUGCAGUUGCUUAGCUCCAUCAAAAACAUCUAAGUCCCCCGCAUAGCUAAAACUCAGAAACUCCUCCACAUUGUCAUCCAAUACAAAACUUCCAUCACAGAUCCCGAACCCAUCAAAGCUAUCAUAUGGGAUUGAUACUCCAUCAAAUUUCAGGUCACAAACUUCCGGCUGAUACCACACAGCGCUAUUCCAAACCCAAUUCAGACCAGUAAACAAUCUGCCAUCAACCACAUUUGCCUUUCCUUCAUCCCACCCAGAAGAACUACAAGAUUCAUCAUCCGGUUCAAAACCUUGAAACCAACCAGUGAUCGCCGUAAACGUAGACCUAAUCUCCAUUCCAAAGGGAUCGACAGGCAAUCGAUCCACAAUAUCAUCAGCAGAACGGUCACAAAAGCCACCCAAUUCACUCUUGCAAUGGGUAUUCUUCAAAUCCAAAUUGGAACUCCAAGAACUUGACGGAUCAUCACAAAUACCAUCCAAAUCCUUUUCCUUGAAUUGAUCCAUCACAUACCCAUCAGGGUACUUAACAGAAGAACACAAACUAUGCUCCGCGGACAGAUACGCCGGAAAGAUAGAGCCACGAGAGAGAUUCAAAGCCAUCCUUUGCAGCUAAGAGAUAGAAUAUAUACAGAAAUUUAUACCAAGAAACCUGGUUCUUCUUUAACACAAGGCAAAAAUUCCGAAGAUAGGAGGCCAAAAAAGAAAAACCAGAAAGGAAGCAAAAAGCACCUGAAUUUCUGGAUUAUAUGAAAAACCCAACUUCCUAAUAGGCCGAUUCUCAAACAAAAAACAAAAGUUCACAAAUUUUAUACGACUUAGGAGUACCAAUCAAGCUGAAUUCAGAGAAACCCUAGUGGAAAUUGGGAAUUAGGAAUUCAGAGAAGCAAAAUCCUAAUAUGGGUAGUAGAUAAAAAAAAAGAUUGAAACGGAUACGGAGAUUAAAAGGAGAAAGAUUGAAAUUUACCGAAUCUGAUGCGGAAGAGGAAAAACAGCCUGACCCAGCGAUGCAAGCAACCGACCGACCAAUCACCCAACUCAAUGAGGAAAGAGGUAGAGAGAAAAAGUUAGAGAGAGAGAGAGAGAGAGGAGGAGGAAAACCAAAGAGG
rnacentral:lncRNA from 1 species